rnacentral:rRNA from 1 species
GGACUACAGGGGUUUCUAAUCCCGUUCGCUACCCUGGCUUUCGUGUUUGAGCGUCAGGAACGUACCAGUGCACUGCCUUCGCCUUUGGUGUUCCCCAUGAUAUCAACGGAUUUCACCCCUCCACCAUGAGUUCCGUGCACCUCUUACGCCCUCGAGCCCUACCGUUUCCUUCGCCGGCUGUAGGUUAAGCCCACAGAUUUAACGAAAGACUAAUAGGGCCGCCUAGACACCCUUUACGCCCAGUGAUUCCGGGUAAUGCUUGGGGCCUCUGUAUUACCGCGGCUGCUGGCAC